rnacentral:tRNA from 1 species
GGGAGUGGAUGGGUCCUGGUGGGUUCCCUGGACUUCAAAUCCAGUGGCGCGUGGGUAACGCCCGGGCGCGGUGGGUUCGAUUCCCACACACUCCCGCCA